AUGAUGGUGGUUUACACCUGCAGCAGGCACCAGGCAGCUCAGAAUUUUUGGGAUUUAGGUGGUAUUGUAAAUUUUCAGCAAGAGAAAUUCAGAAAUUUGGGUAACUUCAUUGCUGAAAGCUUAUAUACCUUAUACAGGGUCUUCAUGUUUCUGAAGCAUCUUUUAGGAGACCACUUCACUCUUAGAUCUGAAAGGUCCUGCAGCGUUCUACGGUGGAGUCCCACUGUGAAGGCCUUGGCUUUGUUCUUUAAAAAGAAACACCAAAAAAGCAUUUAAUGCACCAUCUCCCUCAAGUUCUUGCUCAUCACUGAAAAUCCUUGCUGGCUCCCAUGAACUCACCGCAGCUAUUGGCAGUGAUUUCAGUGAAGCAGUGCAAGCUUUUCAUUCAAACUGUUUCUCAGGCAGCCUUAUUAGGUUGAUGCAUUAUAGCAAUUAUUUCACCAUGGGGAUAGUAUUUAUUUUUAAGGGUGACUAGAUCUGGUGUCUCAAUCCUAUGCUGAAAGUUUCACUCUCCUCUUUACCCCUGAUUGUGGAAAAGAUUUUAUGAACUUCUUAAUGAACAUUGGUCACUUUGUUCACUCCAUGCUAAAAUGCCAUAGCAGGUAUUUUUCCUGGCCAUUCACACAGAAAUACUCUGUCCUGCCAGAGGCAGCAAUUUCAGGCGGAUCCCAAGGCAAAUAGUGUCUCCUUAGUAUUCCAGGCAUAUUAUCAGUACAGGCACAACAUAAUUCCACAGCUACCCAGCCAACAGCAAUGCAGCGGUGCACUUUUUAUAAGUCUUAACACCUUUUAGCAGGGCAGACAGUUAUUCAGGAUGGUGCCUAAAUUAACUGUACAGCAAAUGAACUUAACUGAGAUGCAGGUGGUGCUAAAAAUGUUGGGGGUAGGUUUGGGGAGGAUAUUUAGUUUUUCCUUAUACUCUUAUGAGCUCUGACAUACACUUGUAGGCAAUACUAGAUUUGGGAAGAAAAUAAGGGAGGGAGGGCAACGGCCUUCUGGCAAGUUUUGAAGUGAUAGUUCUUUGCAUUUUGUAGUAAAAUUGGGCAGAUGUAUCUGAUACACUUUGGAAAUUUUUUACUCUAUUUUCCAGAGUGGGUUGCUAAUUAGAGAGUCCUGAGAAGGCAGAUAUUUUAAUUUACCAAGUCACUUAUAUAGAUAUAUAGCUAUAUUUUGUAUUUAUGCACAGAAGAUUAAGAGCCUUUAGUGAAGAUCCUGCUCAUACACUUAAUAAUGCAAUAGAUUAAUUGUAGUAGAAUAUCCUUUUUCAUUUUCAGAU
rnacentral:lncRNA from 1 species